UCGCCGGCGACCGGCGCACGGGUGAGUAACGCGUAUCCCACCUUCCGUACACUCAGGGAUAGCCUUUCGAAAGAAAGAUUAAUACCUGAUGGUAUGAUGAGAUUGCAUGAUAGCAUCAUUAAAGAUUUAUCGGUGUACGAUGGGGAUGCGUUCCAUUAGGUAGUAGGCGGGGUAACGGCCCACCUAGCCUACGAUGGAUAGGGGUUCUGAGAGGAAGGUCCCCCACAUUGGAACUGAGACACGGUCCAAACUCCUACGGGAGGCAGCAGUGAGGAAUAUUGGUCAAUGGACGAGAGUCUGAACCAGCCAAGUAGCGUGAAGGAUGAAGGUCCUACGGAUUGUAAACUUCUUUUAUAAGGGAAUAAAACCUCCCACGUGUGGGAGCUUGUAUGUACCUUAUGAAUAAGCAUCGGCUAACUCCGUGCCAGCAGCCGCGGUAAUACGGAGGAUGCGAGCGUUAUCCGGAUUUAUUGGGUUUAAAGGGAGCGCAGACGGGUCGUUAAGUCAGCUGUGAAAGUUUGGGGCUCAACCUUAAAAUUGCAGUUGAUACUGGCGUCCUUGAGUGCGGUUGAGGUGUGCGGAACUCGUGGUGUAGCGGUGAAAUGCUUAGAUAUCACGAAGAACUCCGAUUG
rnacentral:rRNA from 1 species